rnacentral:rRNA from 1 species
CCUACGGGGGGCAGCAGUGGGGAAUUUUGGACAAUGGGCGCAAGCCUGAUCCAGCCAUGCCGCGUGUGUGAAGAAGGCCUUCGGGUUGUAAAGCACUUUUAAUCGGGAGGAACACCUGUCGGCUAAUACCUGGCAGUAUGACAUUACCGAUAGAAAAAGCACCGGCUAACUACGUGCCAGCAGCCGCGGUAAUACGUAGGGUGCAAGCGUUAAUCGGAAUUACUGGGCGUAAAGCGUGCGCAGGCGGUUAUUUAAGUCAGAUGUGAAAUCCCCGGGCUUAACCUGGGAACUGCAUUUGAUACUGGGUAACUAGAGUUGAGUAGAGGAGAGUGGAAUUUCCGGUGUAGCGGUGAAAUGCGUAGAUAUCGGAAGGAACACCAGUGGCGAAGGCGGCUCUCUGGACUAAAACUGACGCUGAGGUACGAAAGCGUGGGUAGCAAACAGGAUUAGAUACCCU